CCCGCCCCCUUGUUGCAGGUUGGACAUGUGACCCCAGGUGGGCCACGGUGAUUGGUCUAGGGACGGGACCGGGUCUGGGAUCUAAGCCCAGCCAAUCAGAACCCUUCCUUGGGCUUCCCUUCGUGGAAGAUCCUUUGCCAUCUGCUUGUGCAGCCCAGAGUCCCGGCCUGUCCCACACCACAACAAAGUAUGUGGGGUAGAAGUAUAAACCCAGAGAGGGAGGGAUAAGAACCAGCGAGUCUCAGCUUCGUUCACACCCUGGACGCUGUCAUCGCAAAGGCAGCUCCCUCCGCCUUCCCUGGUUUGGUUGUAUCCCGUCAGUUUGCACGGAUCCCGACUGACAAAAGCCCACGACCCUCAACGGGGGAAGCCCAAACCCAGUGGGGAAGGGAUCGUGGGGAAGACUAGAGUCCCACCUCUGCCACCUGCUAUGUGGUCUCAAGAGACUGACCUCCACUCUCCGCUCUACCCUGGAAGAAGUCCUGUGUGACCCUCAUCAGCAGCUCUCUUGCCCUCUGGCUCCCGGGGCCUCCAGCCAAUGGGGCCUCAGCAGGAUGCAGGGUGGGCAGGAGAGUGAAGUCAGGAUGCUGAUUUCCCUGUAGGGUCCCCACAGACUGGCUGCAUCCCUCCAGCGAAGGUCACCGCUCCUUCAGGCGCCCUCCCUGCCCCCACCCCUCUGUCUGCCCAUGGCUCCCCCAACCCCGUCCACGCAGGGGUGGCAGUGGCGCCCGACGGUGCUGGCCCAGAAUCCUGCGCUCUGUCAGGAGGCUUUCCCCACACUUUGUAAAUAUUCCCUGUUUAAGCUCUCCUCAAAUUACCCAAUUGGAGUGUGCGUCAUCUAUUUUUCACGGGGUUCCCGAAUGGCUGAUGGUCCUUUUCCUGGUCUCCCCAGGUCCUCAUCAGACAAAUCCUACUCUGCAGAGGACACUGGUCCAGGGUCCCAACUCUGGACACUGUCCCCAUUUCCCUCCAAACUUUGGAACUCCAGCUAGCCUCUCCAAAAUCUGUCCAAUCUCAAACCCCAGGAAAAGGCCCCUGAUGAGAAGAAGUGGCUGUUGGCCUCCAACAGACAGCGGCCCUAACAGGAGGCAGGCAGGGUCACGCCUGGGCUCAGGAAGUGUCUGGGGCAGCAAACCACCAAUUUCUGUACACCAGAGAAGGUACCUGAGAGCGUAUAUUUAUAGAAAGAUACACAGAAACAGACAGAUGGCAUCCGGCUAUAGAUACAGAGAGCUCUGCUGGAGAACCACGUCGGGAUGCAUAUAUUUGCCAACAGUAGAACACGAGGUUUCCGCAUCUUCGGUC